AUUGAACGCUGGGGGCAGGCUUAACACACGCAAGUCGAGCGGGGUGAUGGUGCUUGCACUAUCACUUAGCGGCGGAUGGGUGAGUAAUGCUUAGGAAUCUGCCUAUUAGUGGGGGACAACAUCUCGAAAGGGAUGCUAAUACCGCAUACGUCCUACGGGAGAAAGCAGGGGAUCACUUGUGACCUUGCGCUAAUAGAUGAGCCUAAGUCGGAUUAGCUAGUUGGUGGGGUAAAGGCCUACCAAGGCGACGAUCUGUAGCGGGUCUGAGAGGAUGAUCCGCCACACUGGGACUGAGACACGGCCCAGACUCCUACGGGAGGCAGCAGUGGGGAAUAUUGGACAAUGGGGGGAACCCUGAUCCAGCCAUGCCGCGUGUGUGAAGAAGGCCUUAUGGUUGUAAAGCACUUUAAGCGAGGAGGAGGCUCUUUUGGUUAAUACCCAAGAUGAGUGGACGUUACUCGCAGAAUAAGCACCGGCUAACUCUGUGCCAGCCGCCGCAGUAA
rnacentral:rRNA from 1 species